UACGAAGGGGGCUAGCGUUGUUCGGAAUUACUGGGCGCAAAGCGCGCGCAGGCGGUUUUCCAAGUCAGAGGUGAAAUGCCGGGGCUCAACCCCGGAACUGCCUUUGAAACUGGAAGGCUGGAGUUCGGGAGGGGAGUGCGGAAUUCCUGAUGUAGAGGUGAAAUUCGUAGAUAUCAGGAGGAACACCGGUGGCGAAGGCGGCACUCUGGACCGAUACUGACGCUGAGGAGCGAAAGCGUGGGUAGCAAACAGG
rnacentral:rRNA from 1 species